rnacentral:rRNA from 1 species
UACGUAGGCAGCAAGCGUUGUUCGGAAUUACUGGGCGUAAAGCGCACGUAGGCGGCUUUCUAAGUCGGGGGUGAAAUCCUGGAGCUCAACUCCAGAACUGCCUUCGAUACUGGAAAGCUCGAGUCCGGGAGAGGUGAGUGGAACUGCGAGUGUAGAGGUGAAAUUCGUAGAUAUUCGCAAGAACACCAGUGGCGAAGGCGGCUCACUGGCCCGGUACUGACGCUGAGGUGCGAAAGCGUGGGGAGCAAACAGG